rnacentral:rRNA from 1 species
UACUUUUUUAUUUUAGCAAUAAAGCAUUGAAAAGAUAUCUUGAUUUUAAGAUUACAGGGGCGUGAUGUGUCACGAUAGGAAAAAGGACAUAAAAACAUUGUUUGAUUUUUUCACUCCAUAAAGAAAACUUUUUUGUAGAAAAAAUUUAUAGUCAUCUAUAAAAAUAUAUAACGAACUGAAACAUCUCAGUAGUUAGAUAAAAAUCAACCGAGAUAUUGUGAGUAAUGGCGAGUAAAAACAAUAAAGGGUAUUACAAAAUGAAAGUUAAAAAGUUUAGAAUCCCAGAAGAAUUUAAUCUGUAAAUAUUUUUUUUCAUUUUGUAUUAGUAAAGCAAAACUAAUUUAUUUUGUUUUAAGAUUGGGGUUCCACCCUCAAAACUUAAAAUGUAUCUUAAAAAUCAAUAGUAAACUAGUACCGUAAGGGAAAGGAUGAAAGACUAGAACUUUUUGUAGAGUGAAAAAAGAGCUUAAAAUUCAAUGCUUAAUAUUAGUUGGUGCUGUAAAGUAACAGCUUACCUUUUGCAUAAUGAGUCAGUGAGUUUUUUUUAUAAGCAAGCUUAAAUGUUAAAUCUUAGGCUUAAAAAUUGAAUACAGUUUAUAAAAAAAGACCCGAAACUAAGUGAUCUAACUAUGAACAGGUUGAAAUUAGAAUGGUAACAUCUAUUGGAGGACCGAACCCGUAUAUGUUGAAGUAUGUUGGGAUGAUUUGUGGUUAGGGGUGAAAGGCUAAUCAAACUUAGAUAUAGCUGGUUUUUUGCGAAAUCUAUUUAAGUAGAGCGUUUUAUAAAAAAUAAUUUAGGGUAGAGCACUUUGUGAAUGCGGGAGAUUUUUUAAUCUUACUAAACUUACAAAAACUCCGAAUAUGAAAAAAUUUUUAUAAGCAGACGGACUAUGAGCGCUAAGGUUCAUUGUCAAAAGGGAAACAGCCCAGAUUGUUCGAUAAGGUCCUAAAAUAAUUCUUAGUAUAAAAGAAGUGGAGAAAUUUUAACACUUCAUUAGUAGGCUUGGAAGCAGCCGUCUAAUAGCACAAGCGUAACAGCUUGUGAGUUGAGUUUUUAGGUACUGCAAAUGUAAGGGUAUGUGAUUUGUACCGAAUCGACAAAUUUAUUAAUGGUAGCAAAAUAUCUUGUAUUGUAUAAUGCUUUUUGUUUUUAAUAAUAUACAGUUCGUAUCUAAUAAAUGUUAUUUUUAUUUAUAAAAUUUUUAUAGCGGUUUAUUUGAUUUUAAAAUAUAUACUUAGUUUUCUAAAAAAUGAAUUGUAUAAUCGUUAACAUUUUGUAUUAAAAGAUAUUUUGUAAAAAAUAUUUAAAAGAUCAAGAGUAAUAAUACUGACAUGAGUAGCGAUAAACAAUGAUAAUAAAAAAAAACAUUGUCGCCGUAAGCCUAAGGUUUUCUUGGUAACGUUAAACUACGAUGAAAUAAACGGACCUUAAGAAAAAAGCGUAAGCUUAAUUUAAAAGGAAUAAAGUUAAAAAGUGACAAAAGAUAAUUAAUGUAAAAAAGUAUUGGUUUUUUUUUGUAUUAUAAUCUUUUCAAGAAAAAGCUUAACAAGUUGUUUCAACUUAAUAAUUCCGUACUAUAAACCAACACAGGUGGGCAAGUUGAGCAAACUAAGGCGUUUGAGAGAAUUAUGGUAAAGGAACUCGGCAAAAUGACUCUGUAACUUCGGGAGAAGGAGUAACUAAAAGGGAGGAAUCCUUAAUAGUUGGCACAAAAUCGGGGGUAGCGACUGUUUACUAAAAACACAGGUCUCUGCUAAUUCGUAAGAAGAUGUAUAGGGACUGACACCUGCCCGGUGCUGUAAGAUUAAGGGGAGAGGUUUAGGCUUCAAACUUAAGUACCAGUAAACGGCGGCUGUAACUCUGACGGUCCAAAGGUAGCGAAAUUCCUUGUCGGGUAAGUUCCGACCUGCAUGAAUGGUGUAACGACUUCCUCGCUGUCUCUACCAUAAUCUUUGUGAAAUUGAAAGAUCUGUGCAGAUGCAGAUUAUCUACAGCUAGACGGAAAGACCCUGUGCACCUUUACUAUGUGUAUACACUGUAAACAAAAAAUUUUUGUCUAGUCUAGGUGGGAGUUUAAACCUUUUAAAGCUUUAAUCAAUUUUGGAAAACCACUCGUGAAUUUUUUUUUUGCUUAUUCAUUCUGAUGAUACUGUAUAUGAGGUAGUUUGACUGGGGCGGUCGCCUCCUAAAAAGUAACGGAGGCGCAUAUAAGGUAAGCUCAUUGGGUAAAUUCCUAAGUAGAGUGCAAUGGCAUAUGCUUACUUGAUUGUAAGAUUAACAAAUCAAACAGAAACGAAAGUUGGUCAUAGUGAUCCGGUAAUUUUGUGUGGAAAAAUUAUCGCUCAACGGAUAAAAGGUACGCCGGGGAUAACAGGCUAAUGACUCUUAAGAGUCCCUAUCGACGGAGUCGUUUGGCACCUCGAUGUCGGCUCUGCAUGUCCUGGAGCUGAAGGCGGUUUCAAGGGUUCGGCUGUUCGCCGAUGAAGAUGCUACGUGAGCUGGGUUUAGAACGUCGUGAGACAGUUCGGUCCCUAUCUGCUGUAGACGUUAGAAAAAUUGAGAGACUUAAACCCUAGUACGAGAGGACCGGGAAAAGUGAAUCACUGGUAAACUGGUUGUUUUGCCUAAAGCACUGCCAGAACGCUAAAUUCAUAAAUGAUAAUUGAUGAAAGCAUAUAAAUAAGAAUCAUAUCUCAAGAUUAAUUUUCUUUUAAAAUGUUAUAUACUAUAACAUGUAUAGGCCUUUGGUUUAAAAUUUUUAAAUGUUAGCCAAAAGGUAACUAAUAAUUUAUUGAAAUAAUAAACAAAA